GUGAGCCCACCGCCCCUCCGUGUUGCCAGUUCAGCGCUCCGCACCCGGCCGUGAGCCCACCGCCCCUCCGUGUUGCCAGUUCAGCGCUCCGCACCCGGCCGUGAGCCCGCCGUCCCUAUCUCCGUGUUGCCAGUUCAGCGCCCCGCCCGCAGUAAGCGCUCACCACACAGGCCUGAGCGAACGAGUGA